GGGUCCUCCAGAGUUACUGUGAACGAGCAGGAGUUCAGUCUUUCUGCAGGAGACAGUCUACUCGUUCCUGAACAGAGCCAGUACCAGUGGCAGAGAGAUGAGGGGACUGUUGCCCUGUUUGUGGUCCAAAACCCUGAGCGGAAGAGACCCUGAACAUCACAUGCAGAGUCACGCACACAUUACAUAGUAUUCUGUGUAUGCGUGGAGAAGAGCUCAAUAGUACAUACAGGAAGUAUAGUAAAUUAACAGCACUUAUUUUAGUUAAAAGCCUAAUGCUUUGUACCUAUUUUAGUAUUAAUAAACACUAUGAUCUAUUCAAAUUGAAAAAAA